rnacentral:rRNA from 1 species
AGUGAACGCUGGCGGUAGGCCUAACACAUGCAAGUCGAACGGCCGCACAGUAAGAGCUUGCUCUUACGGGUGGCGAGUGGCGGACGGGUGAGGAAUACAUCGGAAUCUACUUUUUCGUGGGGGAUAACGUAGGGACACUUACGCUAAUACCGCAUAUGACCUACGGGUGAAAGCAGGGGAUCUUCGGACCUUGCGCGAUUGAAUGAGCCGAUGUCGGAUUAGCUAGUUGGCGGGGUAAAGGCCCACCAAGGCGACGAUCCGUAGCUGGUCUGAGAGGAUGAUCAGCCACACUGGAACUGAGACACGGUCCAGACUCCUACGGGAGGCAGCAGUGGGGAAUAUUGGACAAUGGGCGCAAGCCUGAUCCAGCCACACCGCGUGGGUGAAGAAGGCCUUCGGGUUGUAAAGCCCUUUUGUUGGGAAAGAAAAGCAGCAGGUUAAUACCCCGCUGUUCUGACGGUACCCAAAGAAUAAGCACCGGCUAACUUCGUG